UCAUCCUCAGGUUCCACCGGA
rnacentral:miRNA from 1 species